rnacentral:misc_RNA from 1 species
CGAAAUGCGAUAAGUAAUGUGAAUUGCAGAAUUCCGUGAAUCAUCGAAUCUUUGAACGCACAUUGCGCCCUCUGGUAUUCCGGGGGGGCAUGCCUGUCCGAGCGUCAUUGCGAACCCCUCAAGCACGGCUUGUGUGAUGGGCCCUCCCGCGUCUUGGUCGUCAAGACGGGCCCGAAAUGCAGUGGCGGCUUCGCGGUUAUCCGAUCAGCCAGAGCGUAUGGGGACUCUCUCUCUUGUCACACGCCCGCGGCGCGGACCGACGCCUGUCGACCUUUAUUCAUCUUCUCUCGGUUGACCUCGGAUCAGGUAGGGAUACCCGCUGAACUUAAGC